CCGAGGGCUGUGCAUUCAAGGUGAGGACGCUAGAAGCCAUGGAGAGUUUUGAAUAAAGGAGGGACAUGAUCCAAAUCCAGGCUUUUAAGGUUUCCCAAAGGACAUUCAAAGGAAGAAUAUCGUAGAGAGGAUGAAGACUUUGGGGUCUUGGGAGGUUGAAUCCUUUUUGUAGCUCACAUAGGUGGUAGAGAUGACAUUUUGCACUGAGACAAGCAGGUCAGACAACCAGCCGUAGGGUUACCUGGUUCCAGGGACAAGAAAGGGUUCAGGGAGGCCUGAGCUUAUCAAAUCCCGUGACAUGUUUGUAAUGUCUGCCUCUCCCCUCAGGCACUCCUGGCUGCAGAAGCACUUAGGGAACCCACACAGGGAAGUGGAGGGUGUUCAAUCCCCUCAUUGGUCUUGACCCCAUCCACAGGUUCUCUAGCUUGUGGUGUGCUGGGACUCUUAAGUGCCAUUUUUUCAGUCCUUUGAUCCGAGGACCCUGGAGAAUCUCUAAAGACAGGAUACUGAGGCCAUGGCAGGUUAUAUGCAAGUAUGCCCAUUUCUGUCAGCCAGUGUAAACACUCUUGUAAGAUUAACCCAG
rnacentral:lncRNA from 1 species